rnacentral:lncRNA from 1 species
UCUCUCUCUCUCUCUCUCUCUCUCUCUCUCUCUGUUCUGCAAUUUUCUCAACCUUUUGGUGACUACCCCAAGAUCCAUGUAUAUUUUAUCAUUGAUGAAGGUCUCACUAGCAGAUGUAGAUGGGAGGUGGGUCUAUAACAAACAGGCUACAAGUUGACUAGCAUGAAAUUGAUAUGGAAAGGGUUGAUUGUUAUUGGAUCUAAUAUCUCCAUCAGAUAUUAAGAUUCAUUGAAAAUGAUGACGAAAUUUCCUGGUUGCAACAAUUUAUUAGGCUAUGGGGAUUUGGCUCUCUUACUUGUGUGACUAAUGACUGUUGAUGGCAGUCGGAAGAAGACGACAGAGGGGUGGCGUGCGGGUAGAAUUGCU